rnacentral:rRNA from 1 species
GAUGAACGCUGGCGGCGUGCCUAAUACAUGCAAGUCGAGCGAACGGACGAGAAGCUUGCUUCUCUGAUGUUAGCGGCGGACGGGUGAGUAACACGUGGAUAACCUACCUAUAAGACUGGGAUAACUUCGGGAAACCGGAGCUAAUACCGGAUGAUAUUUUGAACCGCAUGGUUCAAAAGUGAAAGACGGUCUUGCUGUCACUUAUAGAUGGAUCCGCGCUGCAUUAGCUAGUUGGUAAGGUAACGGCUUACCAAGGCAACGAUGCAUAGCCGACCUGAGAGGGUGAUCGGCCACACUGGAACUGAGACACGGUCCAGACUCCUACGGGAGGCAGCAGUAGGGAAUCUUCCGCAAUGGGCGAAAGCCUGACGGAGCAACGCCGCGUGAGUGAUGAAGGUCUUCGGAUCGUAAAACUCUGUUAUUAGGGAAGAACAUAUGUGUAAGUAACUGUGCACAUCUUGACGGUACCUAAUCAGAAAGCCACGGCUAACUACGUGCCAGCAGCCGCGGUAAUACGUAGGUGGCAAGCGUUAUCCGGAAUUAUUGGGCGUAAAGCGCGCGUAGGCGGUUUUUUAAGUCUGAUGUGAAAGCCCACGGCUCAACCGUGGAGGGUCAUUGGAAACUGGAAAACUUGAGUGCAGAAGAGGAAAGUGGAAUUCCAUGUGUAGCGGUGAAAUGCGCAGAGAUAUGGAGGAACACCAGUGGCGAAGGCGACUUUCUGGUCUGUAACUGACGCUGAUGUGCGAAAGCGUGGGGAUCAAACAGGAUUAGAUACCCUGGUAGUCCACGCCGUAAACGAUGAGUGCUAAGUGUUAGGGGGUUUCCGCCCCUUAGUGCUGCAGCUAACGCAUUAAGCACUCCGCCUGGGGAGUACGACCGCAAGGUUGAAACUCAAAGGAAUUGACGGGGACCCGCACAAGCGGUGGAGCAUGUGGUUUAAUUCGAAGCAACGCGAAGAACCUUACCAAAUCUUGACAUCCUUUGACAACUCUAGAGAUAGAGCCUUCCCCCUCGGGGGACAAAGUGACAGGUGGUGCAUGGUUGUCGUCAGCUCGUGUCGUGAGAUGUUGGGUUAAGUCCCGCAACGAGCGCAACCCUUAAGCUUAGUUGCCAUCAUUAAGUUGGGCACUCUAAGUUGACUGCCGGUGACAAACCGGAGGAAGGUGGGGAUGACGUCAAAUCAUCAUGCCCCUUAUGAUUUGGGCUACACACGUGCUACAAUGGACAAUACAAAGGGCAGCGAAACCGCGAGGUCGAGCAAAUCCCAUAAAGUUGUUCUCAGUUCGGAUUGUAGUCUGCAACUCGACUACAUGAAGCUGGAAUCGCUAGUAAUCGUAGAUCAGCAUGCUACGGUGAAUACGUUCCCGGGUCU